UCACUCUGGUCUCCCUUCAUACCACGUAUAAAUCUUUCGCCUUUUACUAAAGAUUUCCGUGGAGGGGGACACUUGAUGAGUCUAAAUACUAAUUUUUUGUGAGCCCGACGAAAGUUGGGCC